rnacentral:lncRNA from 1 species
GUUCUCUAGCUUUUUGGGAGAAAAUAAGAUGAGAAGACAGAAAGUGGUUUGGGGGUCACUAAAUGCCAUUUCAAUAAUUUGGAGAAUGCUUGAGAGCUUUUAUUGGAUUGAUGAUCAUGUUUGUAGCUAAGUAUUCACCCUCUGCAGCCCCGAUCGUGAAAGCGAUGAGGAUGAAGAGCCCUACGAGGAGACAUUUGUCUAAAGGUGAUAGGAGGGAAACGUGAAAAUAUGUCUAAAGUUACCAAGACAUGAAGGCUCACUCCAUUUGGGGGCAAAAAAUAGAGGUCCCCAACCAACCAGAUAAUAAUCUGUCAUUACUCAAGAAAACGCACAUUACGUAUAUGAAGCUGUUUUUCCUUUCACACCAAAUGCAUGGUCUCUCCAAAUGAUGUCCACUGAGGAAAAAUUGCACCUACUCUAUUUUAAAGUCAUUGGUAAUAAACAUGGCAG